rnacentral:rRNA from 1 species
UACAGAGGGGGCAAGCGUUGUUCGGAAUUACUGGGCGUAAAGGGCGCGUAGGCGGCCCGCUAAGUCGAACGUGAAAUCCCCGGGCUCAACCCGGGAACUGCGUCCGAUACUGGUGGGCUUGAAUCCGGGAGAGGGAUGCGGAAUUCCAGGUGUAGCGGUGAAAUGCGUAGAUAUCUGGAGGAACACCGGUGGCGAAGUCGGCAUCCUGGACCGGUAUUGACGCUGAGGCGCGAAAGCAUGGGGAGCGAACAGG